rnacentral:rRNA from 1 species
GACAGAGGUCCCAAGCGUUAGGCGGAAUCACUGGGCUUAAAGCGUGUGUAGGCGGAUGCCUAAGUACCUUGUGAAAUCCCACGGCUCACCCGUGGAACUGCUUGGUAUACUGGGUGUCUUGAGCCACUUAGGGGCUACCGGAACAAAUGGUGGAGCGGUGAAAUGCGUAGAUAUCAUUUGGAACGCCAAUGGUGAAAACAGGUAGCUGGGGCUGUGCUGACGCUGAGACACGAAAGCCAGGGGAGCAAACGGG